rnacentral:rRNA from 1 species
GACGAACGCUGGCGGCGUGCUUAACACAUGCAAGUCGAGCGAGACCCCGCUUUCGGGUGGGUGUUCUAGCGGCGAACGGGUGAGUAACACGUGGGCAACCUGCCCUCAGCUCUGGGAUAACUCCAAGAAAUUGGGGCUAAUACCGGAGAUGACCGCUGACCGCAUGGUCUGGAGGUGGAAAGAUUUAUCGGCUGGUGGUGGGCCCGCGGCCUAUCAGCGUGCUGGUGGGGUAGUGGCCUACCAAUGCGACGGCGGGUAGACGGCCUGAGAGCGUGCCCGGGCACACAGGGACUGAGUCACGGCCCUGACACCUACGCGUGGGAGCGGUGGGUAAGAUUGCGCAAUGGGCGCAAGCCUGACGCAGCGACGCCGCGUGGGGGAUGCCGGCCUUCGGGUUGUAAACCUCUUUCCGCAGGGACGAAGCGAAAGUGGCGGUACUUGCAUAAGAAGCACCGGCCAACUACGUGCCAGCCGCCGCCGUAA